CCAAUAGCGUAUAUUAAAGUUGUUGCAGUUAAAAAGCUCGUAGUUGAAUUUCGGGAUCAACAUGUCGGUCGUGCCUCCGGUACGUACUGGUAUCGUUGAUUUCUACCUUCUGACGAACCAUGAUGUCAUUAAUUUGGUGUCAUGGGGAAUCAGGACUGUUACUUUGAAAAAAUUAGAGUGUUUAAAGCAGGCACACGCUUGAAUACAUUAGCAUGGAAUAAUGAAAUAGGACGUUUGACCCUAUUUUGUUGGUUUCUAGGAUCGACGUAAUGAUUAAUAGGGAUAGUUGGGGGCAUUAGUAUUCAAUUGUCAGAGGUGAAAUUCUUGGAUUUAUUGAAGACUAACUACUGCGAAAGCAUUUGCCAAGGAUGUUUUCAUUAAUCAAGAACGAAAGUUAGGGGAUCGAAGACGAUCAGAUACCGUCGUAGUCUUAACCAUAAACUAUGCCGACUAGGGAUCGGAUGAUGUUAAUUUUUUAAUGACUCAUUCGGCGCCUUACG
rnacentral:rRNA from 1 species